UUUGAUAAAUAUAAAUUCUUGCUUUUGAGAUAGUUCAACUCCAUACAGAAUUGUGGUCUCAGUUCUGUAUAAGUUGAGCUGAAUCAAAAGCAGAACAAUCGACGUCGCUGUCC
rnacentral:precursor_RNA from 10 species